UGGGAAUUUGGACAAUGGGCGAAAGCCUGAUCCAGCAAUGCCGCGUGUGUGAAGAAGGCCUUCGGGUUGUAAAGCACUUUUGUCCGGAAAGAAAUCCUUGGCUCUAAUACAGUCGGGGGAUGACGGUACCGGAAGAAUAAGCACCGGCUAACUACGUGCCAGCAGCCGCGGUAAUACGUAGGGUGCAAGCGUUAAUCGGAAUUACUGGGCGUAAAGCGUGCGCAGGCGGUUUGCUAAGACCGAUGUGAAAUCCCCGGGCUCAACCUGGGAACUGCAUUGGUGACUGGCAGGCUAGAGUAUGGCAGAGGGGGGUAGAAUUCCACGUGUAGCAGUGAAAUGCGUAGAGAUGUGGAGGAAUACCGAUGGCGAAGGCAGCCCCCUGGGCCAAUACUGACGCUCAUGCACGAAAGCGUGGGGAGCAAACAGGAUUAGAUACCCUGGUAGUCCACGCCCUAAACGAUGUCAACUAGUUGUUGGGGAUUCAUUUCCUUAGUAACGUAGCUAACGCGUGAAGUUGACCGCCUGGGGAGUACGGUCGCAAGAUUAAAACUCAAAUGAAUUGACGGGGUCAUAGCU
rnacentral:rRNA from 1 species